rnacentral:rRNA from 1 species
GACGAACGCUGGCGGCGUGCUUAACACAUGCGAGUCGAACGAUGAAGAAAAGAAUCGAAGCUUCGGCAGAAAUUCAUUUCGGAUUAGUGGCAGACGGGUGAGUAACGCGUGAGCAACCUACCUCUUACAAAGGGAUAGCCUCGGGAAACCGGGAUUAAUACCAUAUAACAUUGCGACGAAGCAUUUCGAUGCAAUCAAAGCUACGGCGGUAAGAGAUGGGCUCGCGUCCCAUUAACCGGAUGGUGAGGUAACGGCUCACCAUAGUGACGAUGGGUAACCGGCCUGGGAGGGGGAACGGUCACACUGGAACUGAGACACGGUCCAGACUCCUACGGGAGGCAGCAGUGGGGAAUAUUGCACAAUGGAGGGAACUCUGAUGCAGCGACGCCGCGUGAGUGAUGAAGGAAUUCGUUUCGUAAAACUCUGUUCUAUGGGAAGAAAAGGACUGUACCAUAGGAGAAAGCUCCGGCUAAAUACGUG